GUUCAGCUUUUUUUUUAAAGAACAAUACGUUUCGUACAUUUAGUUUUGUCUUUUUCUUGGCAUUAAGUCCCCGAUGGACCAGAACCUGCUUCUAAGCUUAGUUUUUGUCAAAAUCCAUGCAGCUAGUACGAACAUACUCUUAACUUUUAUUUAUUUUCGAUUUUUAUUUUUGUUUAGGUAUUGUAUCCGAAGAUCAUUUUCUUCAAAAAGACGUUUUGAUCAGUGCCUUUAUUCAAUUAGGAAAUCUCAAAGGAUUUACGGUGAAAAUUAAAUGGAUUUGCGGUGGAAAUAUUUCCUGUUAUCCUAAGUGUGCCAGAAAGUAAUUACAGACGAAGAAACCAAGAUGUGUGUGACACCGAGCGGAGCGAUCUUUUGCGAAACCGCAAUCAUUGAAAGCGACACCAUCAGAAGCACUCAAACCAAUAACCGAAGCAGCAUCAGACGCAACGCCAUUCACAGCAGUGGCAGCAGCCAGAUGACUCCGAUAGAUUGCUUUUCGCGAUUCGUUCCACUUCGACGGUUCGGUGGACGAUAUCGGAGCUUUGAUUGCCUGCUUCCCACAUUGGUCAACUGCUGCUGCCUGUUGCUGUUGGUGGUUUUGCUGGUGCCGACGACAGACGCGGCCAUCUCCAGUAGAGGUGAG